UCAAUUGGAGGCUGUCGACAACAGAUUUGAAAAUCAAUUUUCCAAAAUUAUGUGCUUGCAAUCUGAAGGUCAAAACCUUUUAGGCCAGGUUUGAUUCACAAGAUUAAUAGUGAGGUACCAACUUGUAAUUUUGUCUAUAACUAUUCUUUUCAAUCACCAAGUCCUAAUUGGCAAAUCCGCAGUUGCUGGGUAGCACAAGCAUUUGAAAUCAUGCUUUUGUAAUUAGGAUGAGCACACCUAUAGCUGAAGUGCCAGUUGCCUUGGAGAUCUAAUUUAACCAAAUUUCUUUUCAUAAAAAAAAAAAAAUGAUAAUUAUAGAGUUAUUUUUUAUACUGAAAUAAGAUAAAAAGUUGACCAUGUGAAUCAUUUAGGCAUUCUUUUUUUCUUUCUUUUUCUUCUCUUUUACUGGAGGAAGAGAGAAAUGGAGAUGUGAUGUACUCAUCAUUAUAGUUUACGAGUGAAAAAAAAAAAAAAUGAGUUGAAUCUGUGAUGAUGGAUAUGAAGCUUCUUUUUGCUGCUGCUGUUAUGAUAUGAUUUUUUACUGAAAAGAAAGAAAAAAGGAGGUAAUUUUUCU